CAUAUCUCUUAUUAUAGAGCCGUUGUUUGGAUUGCCCUCUUCUUCAACAAUACCCAGCUUCACAUCUUUUCCUUCUGGUUGUCAAGCCCUGGUCCAGACUGAGCAAAAGAAGAUCAGGGAGUGCAGACUCCUUAUUCCCAGAACUGUGCCCAAGUCCCUGCAAUGGCUUCCUGGGUACCAAAUCUCACUGAGCUGGUGCUCUAAAAGUACCGUGGCCCUUGUUGGCUUCCAGUACUGAGGCUCUAAGGCAUAAAGUGCUUUCUGACAUUGACUCUGCAUUCAUGCAGAAGAGACACAAACCUCCUCCCCACCGUUUCCAGACAUCACCCUUUUCUCUGACCCUAAUGAGCAACUGAAGGGUGUCACAGUCAUAGAAAGAGGCUUAAAUC
rnacentral:lncRNA from 1 species